rnacentral:tRNA from 1 species
GCCGCACAUAGAGCAGAAGUGCGCGGUUUUUGCGCCUUCGGCGGGCAAAGUCUGGUCGUGGUACGAUUCCGCGGUGUCGGG